CAAAUUUUAUUGAAAAAUAUUAUUGAGCAGAUAGAUAGAGUCUAUAAAAGUGAGCAGUUUUGGUACCUCAUUUCUGUUUUUCUGAUUUCCGUAAGUGGGUGGUAAGAGGGGUACGAACAAGUUGAAUUUUAUUAGGUUGUGGGUAACCAUUACCACCCUAUUCAACAAACUUCUCAACUUAACCAAAAUUUACGAAUAGCAGCGAAAAGACUUUUUUUUCAAAAGUAGGCUCGGUUGUGGUCUUUAUCUUUAGCUUGUAGGUUAUACUUGGUGCCAAAAGACUAAUUCAGGUUGGGGGGGGGCACACGCUCCUCGCACAAGUCAAUAAACACACCACCAAUAAAUGAAAUUCUUGUAACAAAAAAAAAUUUCAUGUUUUUUAUACUGUGUACUAGUUUCACUUAUUUUAUUAAAUAAAUAAAUAUUUAUUUAUAAUUAGAGAAUUAAAUAUUUUUGAAAUUAGGGUGUGUUAAACCAUCACCACCAUAUCCAUCACCAACUUUAAUAAACAUCAAUCAUUAAUAGUCUGGAAUAAAAUUAUAGCAACUUUUUGUAAAAAAAAAUAACCGUUUGUUAAAAUAAAACACUUUUUAUUGAUAGAAAUAUGCUUAUUUUUAGGGUAAAGGUGGUGGUUCGGCACCCCCUCUAGCCCCCAGGAAAUGCCCAAUAGGUGGACGAUAUUAUAAAUUUGUAGCCCACAGUUACACCUAUCUUUUGAUACUAAGUUAUAGGUACUUAGAUAAGAAUUGAAAAAUUUAUAACAAUUUAAGUUAAGAAAAACUAAAUUUUGACCACAGUUUCUUCAACAAAUCCGUAUAUCAAAAGAUUGCGACUAAAAACGUUAUAACUUUUUGUAGAAUAUUCCGAUUUUAAUAAUUUUUUCACCUUCAAAAUACUGUAUUGAAGCACUUUCCAAUGAUAUAUAACAAUCUAACCUUUGAUCAAUUUAAAAUUUUCA